CUGCGAGUGAGAGGGAAGAGCUCAUCAUUGGAAUCUGGCAGUGUUGCACUGUCCGAGUUGUAGAUGAGGAGUAGUCCGUCUGGACUGCAUGGCGUCCAAGUACAAUAGGCCGUCAGUGGGACAUCAUAGAGGGUGACAAUCCCGUCCUUGACGCCAAUGUGCAAGUCUAUUACGAUGGCUAUCUCAGAGAGUCGAGCAGUUUGGGAUUUGCUGCUUAAACAUGGGAGGUAGAUUCCUUCUAAAGCUAAAUACAGGCGAGAGACCGAUAGAGAACAAGUACCGCAAGGGAAAGAUGAAAUAGCACUCUGUGAAGGGAGUCAAAAGGCGUGAAAUUGUUGCGAGAGAAGCGAUUCAAGUCAGCGUAGCUAGGCCCAUCAAGCGUCUUCGCUUUGGACUAGCUUUGCCAGCGGUCUUGUCCCUUGAAGAGACUUGACUUGUAAUAUGUCCAGCCUGGCGUGCACAGGCAGCCCCUUCUGGGGGCCAGUGGCAUGGCUGGUGGAAUGGCUUGCAAUCGACCCGUCUUGAAACACGGACCAAGGAGUCUAACAUGUAUGCGAGUAUAAGGGUGGCAAACCCGUAUGCGCAAUGAAAGUGAUUUUCGGUGAUUGAGAAUGGCCUGAUGACCAGACAAGCAAUAUAUGUCCCUCGUACGGCCAUUGCCCAAGUUCCGUGGUAGAUCCCACGAACAUGGAGUUGGAGCAUACAUGCUAGGACCCGAAAGAUGGUGAACUAUGCCUGGACAAAGCGAAGCCAAAGGAAACUCUGGUGGAGGCUUGUAGCGAUUCUGACGUGCAAAUCGAUCGUCUGAUCUGGGUAUAGGGGCGAAAGACU
rnacentral:rRNA from 1 species